AUGCUUACACAAAAUGUUGCAACACCUGUGACGGGCACAGUGGACAGGGCUGAGCACUCCACUGACGCUGGGGGGACAGCAAGAGGUGCAACUGUCCUUGGAGAAGAAGCAACGGAUACGGAUGCACACACCCUUGAUGUCACAGCGACUGCAGAUGAAACUGGAGGCACUAUUGGAAAUGGUUUGGCAGGCUUGGAAGGUGAAAACGAUGAUGAAGCUUGGUCACAGCCUAAGGUGCCAUAUGUUGGAAUGAGGUUUGACACUAUGGAGGGCGCCAAAGAACACUACAACGCAUAUGCUUUGCAACUUGGGUUUUCUGUCAAGAAGAACACUCCAAGGAAGUCUGUUAAAACUGCUGAGCUGAUAAAGCAGCAAUUUGUGUGCAAUAAGUUUCGCAAACCUAAAGUUGAUGAUGGAGGAGCAGAAACAAUUCCUGCCCUAGACAGAUUGUAG
rnacentral:rRNA from 1 species